AGUGAACGCUGGCGGUAUGCCUAACACGUGCAAGUCGAACGGCAGCACAGUAUGAGCUUGCUCUUACGGGCGGCGAGUGGCGGACGGGUGCGGGAUACAUCGGAAUCUACUUUUUCGCGGGGGAUAACGUUGGGAAACUCACGAUAAUACCGCAUACGACCUACGGGUGAAAGCAGGGGAUCGUCGGACCUUGCGCGACUGAGUGAGCCGAUGUCGGAUUAGCUAGUUGGCGGGGUAAGGCCCACCAAGGCGACGAUCCGUAGCUGGUCUGAGAGGAUGAUCAGCCACACUGGAACUGAGACACGGUCCAGACUCCUACGGGAGGCAGCAGUGGGGAAUAUUGGACAAUGGGCGCAAGCCUGAUCCAGCCAUACCGCGUGGGUGAAGAAGGCCUUCGGGUUGUAAAGCCCUUUUGUUGGGAAAGAAAAGCAGCAGGUUAAUACCCCGCUGUUCUGACGGUACCCAAAGAAUAAGCACCGGCUAACUUCGUG
rnacentral:rRNA from 1 species